AGACCAGAAGAUGAGGCCACACCAGGACAACAUGAAGCUCCUAAUCCAAAAGAGCCUCUUUUAGAGAACCCGGAAGAAGGCACACACUUAAAGGAUAUUGUUACAAAGAACUGAACUGGGAGGCUAUUAUGUUAUGUAUGAAUAAAAUAAUUCAUAUAAUUCUAUGAAUCCAAUAAUUCAAUGUUCCCACAUUAAUUACUAUGCUGUGAUUAUUUUGAUUUUUUUUUACUUCCUUGAUUGAUUGGUUUAAUAUAAUAUUUGGCAGUGUUAGAUCAACACUUUCAGUGUUAAUACUGCAUUGUUGAUUUUACACUGGCAAAUUAACUGUGUACAUUUUUUUUUAUUUCUUUAUAUUUUAACCUUGUUAUUCAUUCUUUCAGACUCAAAAUGUAAAAUGAGCAAUGU